UGUAGCUCAGUGAUAGAGUACAUGCCUACCAUGCAUGAGGUCCUGGGUUCAAGCUCUAGCA
rnacentral:tRNA from 1 species